rnacentral:rRNA from 1 species
GUGCCAGCCGCCGCGGUAAUUCCAGCUCCAAUAGCGUAUAUUAAUGUUGCUGCAGUUAAAAAGCUCGUAGUUGGAUUUCUGACUUGGCGCAUCUGGCCCGCCACGGUUACGUGUGUGAGUGCCGGGAUGCGCCUGUCACUUUUCUAGUAAACUAUUGUGCUCUUCACUGAGUGCGAUAGGUAGCUAGAUAUUUUACUUUGAAAAAAUUAGAGUGUUUAAAGCAGGCGUUUGCUAUGAAUACAUUAGCAUGGAAUAAUAAGUUAGGACUACGGUUCUAUUUUGUUGGUUUCUAGGACUGAAGUAAUGAUUGAUAGGGAUAGUUGGGGGUGCUAGUAUUCAGCGGCCAGAGGUGAAAUUCUCGGAUUCGCUGAAGACUAACUUAUGCGAAAGCAUUCACCAAGGAUGUCUUCUUUAAUCAAGAACGAAAGUUGGGGGAUCGAAGACGAUCAGAUACCGUCGUAGUCUCAACUAUAAACUAUGCCGACUAGGGAUGAGUGAACGUUGCAUUCUCGACUUCAUUCGCACCUUAUGAGAAAUCAAAGUCCUUGGGUUCCGGGGGGAGUAUGGUCGCAAGGCUGAAACUUAAAGGAAUUGACGGAAGGGCACCACCAGGAGUGGAGCCUGCGGCUUAAUUUGACUCAACACGGGGAAACUUACCGGGUCCAGACUCAGUGAGGAUUGACAGAUUGAAGAUCUUUCUUGAUUUUGAGGGUGGUGGUGCAUGGCCGUUCUUAGUUGGUGGAGCGAUUUGUCUGGUUUAUUCCGUUAACGAACGAGACCACGACCUACUAAAUAGUUCUUACUUGGGUUCGCUCAAGUCGAUGUGACUUCUUAGAGGGACUAUCGGUGUGUAGCCGAUGGAAGUUCGUGGCAAUAACAGGUCUGUGAUGCCCUUCGAUGUUCUGGGCCGCACGCGCGCUACACUGAUGCGUUCAUCGAGCUUACAACCUUGUCUGAGAGGACUGGGUAAUCUUUGAAAACGCAUCGUGCUGGGGAUAGAUUAUUGUAAUUAUUAAUCUUCAACGAGGAAUUCCUAGUAAACGCAUGUCAUCAACAUGCAUUGAUUACGUCCCUGCCCUUUGCACACACCGCCCGUC